GGAUGCUGGAUCGGACACUGGCUUUCUACUAACCUGCGCACGGAAACAAACGUAUGCUGAGUAUGGGUAUACUCAAUGGUAUUACCAUAAUUCAAAUUUAUAACAUUAAUCGAUAAAUUAUAUACAUUUAAUUUAUGUCUACAAUUAUUCAUUAAUUUUCUCAUACUUUAAAUCAACUUGAUAAUUAAUAACUGUAGCGACCUAAAAAAAUUUGGGCACGAGCGCUAAUUGAAGUGAUUAUUAAAAAUUUGAAAGCAGAGUUUCAAUUUAUUUAAAAAGGGAGUCGCCACCGAUCUUUUUUAUAGGAAUGAUCGGACACCUAAUAAAUUCUCUUUUUUUAAAAGAAAAAUUAUUUUUCAAAUUUUCUAAAAAAAAGAGUCGAUUUUAGGUCCACAUCAAAAUCCAGAGAAAAUUAGGGUUCGGGAAUCGGUUACGCGCGAGGUAGGUAUUAGCACCCUCGCGACGCCUAAAAUUGGUAUCUUGUUAAACGCAUGUUGUCUUAAUUUUCAAAAAUACGAGUUCAAUUAAAUAUUUAGUCGUGAUCCAUUAAAACACGAGAAUUUUGUUUUAAAACUCUAGAAUUUUGAAGCACAAAUUUAAAAAAAAAACGAAAAUUUUUUAAACACGAGAAUUUUUUUUAAAACACGAGAAUUUUUAAAACACGGAAAUUUUAGAAAAACAGAAAUUUUUAAAACACGACAAUUUUUGAAACACGAGAUUUUUUUAAGACAAAAAAAAUACGAAAAUUUGUGAAAUGCGGGAAUUGUUGAAAACAAGAAAAUUUUUGAAAACACGACAAGUUUUGAAAAACAUGAAAAUUUUUGGAAAAGCGAAAAGUCGAAAUUUUUUUUUUACACGAGAAAUUUUGAAAACACAAAAAAUUUGAAAUAUUGAAAUUAUUUUUAAAAAACACGAUUAUAUUUUUUUGAAACACGGGAAAUUUCAUUAUUAUUUUUUUGAGACAUGAGAAAUUUUGGAAACAUGAAAACUUUUGAAAACACGAUUUUUUUAAAAAAAACGUACCGUAUUUAACAAGAAUCGAUGAUAUUCACCCCGACAUGGCGAUGAAAUCUUCGAUUUAGUAUCAAAUCGAUUCGACUUAAUAAUUAAUCGUGAUUCUAUUAAAACACGAGAAAUUCUUAUUUUUAUUUAUUUCGUUUUUUUUUUAAAAAGGGCGUCCCGUAUCCAACACGAGCCAUCGAUAUUCACCCAACAUAGCAAUGAAUUCGAUGACUUAAUAUUAAAUCGGCUCGUUGCCUUAUGCAUCAAAAUUAUUCGAAUCUAAAAGUUAAAAUAAAAUAAAAUUAAGAAACAUAAAAAAAUAAAAAAAACUUAAAAAUAUGCAAUAAUAUUAAAAAGAGACAAUAUUUAAAUAUUUAAGCAAAAUUAAAAGAACAAAAAUUUACCAAAACCCAAAGUUAUGGGUUGUUUGGACCUUUUUUGCUGUUGGGCUGAUGUUAUUGGGCUGCCAAGGGACUGGGCUUGCUGGCUGUUGGAAUGGGUCUGAGUUGGGCCUGCGUUACUGGGCUGGCACAAUAGGCCUGCUACAGGCCUGCUAUUUUUUCUUUCUUCUGCUGCUUGGGCUGCCACUGCUGUUGGGCUGAAUUCAACCUGCUGUUGAACUGCUGCUGGGGGCUGCUGCAACGGGUCGGGUCAAUUCACACGGGUCGGGUCAAUUCGAACGGGUCGGGUCAAAUAGAC
rnacentral:lncRNA from 1 species